rnacentral:sRNA from 1 species
AUCACUUCUUGGCCUUUUGGCUAAGAUCAAGUGUAGGAAAUAGUAUAAAUAAUGGACAAAUAUAU